rnacentral:rRNA from 1 species
AUUGAACGCUGGCGGCAUGCUUUACACGUGCAAGUCGAACGGCAGCGCGGGGCAACCUGGCGGCGAGUGGCGAACGGGUGAGUAAUAUAUCGGAACGUACCCAGAAGUGGGGGAUAACGUAGCGAAAGUUACGCUAAUACCGCAUACGAUCUACGGAUGAAAGUAGGGGACCGCAAGGCCUUAUGCUUUUGGAGCGGCCGAUAUCUGAUUAGCUAGUUGGUGAGGUAAAGGCUCACCAAGGCGACGAUCAGUAGCUGGUCUGAGAGGACGACCAGCCACACUGGAACUGAGACACGGUCCAGACUCCUACGGGAGGCAGCAGUGGGGAAUUUUGGACAAUGGGCGCAAGCCUGAUCCAGCAAUGCCGCGUGAGUGAAGAAGGCCUUCGGGUUGUAAAGCUCUUUUGUCAGGGAAGAAACGGUAGAGGCUAAUAUCCUGUGCUAAUGACGGUACCUGAAGAAUAAGCACCGGCUAACUACGUG